rnacentral:lncRNA from 1 species
ACGCGUUUACUUGGACAGGCGGUGGGUACCCUGGCACAACAGGACCCGGCUGCACUGGAGGAGGAGAAGGCUUCACUGGCUCAGCCGGUGGCGGUGCAGGUUUUGGCGGUUUCACUGGCUCCGCUGGUGGCGGUGCAGGUUUAGGAUUUUCAGGUUCCUUGGGUUUAUCUGCCGGUUUAGGUUUUUCAGGCUCUUUGGGUUUCUCUGCCGGUUUAGGUUUUUCAGGCUCUUUGGGUUUCUCAGUCGUCGGUUUAGGUUUUUCGGGCACUUUGGGUUUCUCUGCCGGUUUAGGUUUUUCGGGCUCUUUGGGUUUCUCGGCCGGUGGUGGCUUGGGCUUCUCUGGCUCUUUGAUCUCAAUGCUUUUUAUGGCACCUCCACCUUUGCAGCAAAUCUUGUCCCUUAUCUUUUCUGGACUACAGCAUACCACUUUGAUCACCACUUG